UACGUAGGGUGCGAGCGUUAUUCGGAAUUACUGGGCGUAAAGUGUGCGCAGGCGGCCGCGCAAGUCGAGUGUGAAAGCCCCGGGCUUAACUUGGGAAUUGCGCUCGAAACUACGUGGCUGGAGUGUGGCAGAGGGAGGUGGAAUUCCACGUGUAGCGGUGAAAUGCGUAGAGAUGCGGAGGAACACCGAUGGCGAAGGCAGCCCCCUGGGCCAACACUGACGCUCAGGCACGAAAGCGUGGGGAGCAAACAGG
rnacentral:rRNA from 1 species